ensembl:lncRNA
CCACAGUCCUGGGUCGUGACUCAUGCAGUGACACACAAGAGCACCGGUCGUCUAGGGGUAAGGGCCAGGACCUGGUGAGGGCUGCGCAGUCAUAGCAGCCAACCCUCCUCCUCUCGCAGCUGCUGCCUCUCGUGAUCAGGUCAUGAUUGCUCAGGAGAGGAAUGGAAUCCUAGGGGCUCUGGCUCCUAAUUAAGGCGAGGUAGCAGGAACACUGACUGAGCAUCUACUGUGUACCAGGCCCUCAGACUGGUGCUUGAAGUAAACGCUACCUCCACCGACUACCUCCACCGACUGUCUCUCAAGAGCAAUCCUAUGAGAUGGAUGUUGUCAUGCUUAUUUGACAGAUGGGAUUCUGAAGCUCAAAAUGAUUAGCAAUUUGCCCAAGGACACACAGGUGGUAGACGAUGAUUCAAAGCCAGGUCUGUUUGGAAUUCAAUGGCCAUCAAGUCUUUCCACAGGCAGCUGUUGCCCAGAACGCACAGCCUUGUCUUACAAAAGCCAGCACAGUUCAUCCUAUUCUCGCCCAGCUCCCGACUCCAAGUCUUGCAGCAUCCCGACGCCUCCAACAGGGAGCCCAGAGCCUCCCUUGAGGCCCGUAGAAGACACAGACUAUUAGAAACAAGACUGGCACCUAAAGGUCUGCCCAGGACCUGAGAUCAAGUGGCCCCAGUCUGUUUCAUCAUUGCUCUGCUUACAAAGGUACCGCUUUUGCUUGGUAGGUACAAUCGUGGGUGGUUUGUUGGAUUUUGUAAAAAACAUAAUUCCUCUUAAUGUUUUAUGUUGUUGGGAUAAGAAGUAUAUUUUUAUUCUUAAGUAACUUGGAGUCACUGGUGCUUUCCUUCAGCUGGGAUUCCGCACAACGGUGGCCCAGAGAAGGGACAAUAAGUAAGCAGCUGUGAUUUCUAAGUGGUCUCGGGGUGGAAACGGCGAUUCAGGGGCUUUUCUGGACAGGAGACCUGAGCAUGCUGGUGACAGUGGCCACGGAGCAGAAGAGCGCGCACCUGAGGCUGGUGCUAGAGACCUCAGAGGAGGAAGUAUGUGCUCCACGAAUGGCCCCAGAACACAAAGCCAGAGAGAGGCCUGGCGUUUCAGGGGGACUCCCUUGACUUUUGAGACCUCUGGAUGCAGCUAAUUUUAUACGGUUAUCUCUAAACUGCAAAGACAAAACAAAACCACCUAGACGUGAGCUAGCAGUGCAUGAAGGUUGUCCCUCCGGCUCCUCUCUCCCGCCCCCUUCUCUGCCCCGCAGGGACAGCAACACAGAAGCUGGGCGUCCAGGGCGGCUGCGGGAGGGAGAGCACGGCCGGCCGUUCCCUGCCUCCACCCACCCCCGCUCGCUGCUGCGGGCUCUUGCAGGGCUCGGCCAUCGGCCAUCGCCGCCCUCUCUCCCCCAUAGGCCUCUAGGGUCGUGAACACUGCUGCUACCCUAGGCCUUGCGCUGAGCCUCAAGCGCCCCCCACCCCCGCACACCCUCCCCCUCGCCUUUCUUAAAAGUCUCUUUAUUCAACUCUGCAGUGAGGAAUUACCUGCUGUGCGGGUGACGGUUACACCAGUGAUGUGCACAACAGAUAUUUCAGACCCUCUCCUCGUAUCCAGUCCUCACCCCCACAGUAUCC